GGCUGGUGGAGCUUUGAGAGAUUUUUCCGUACGUGCAAACUCAUUACAGGUGAAAAAGGUGGUCCACCCGUUGAGUCUACUCCAAAAAGGGAGCUAAUGUAGAAUCAUUUAUCAAACAUAUUAGGCAGAUUCACGUGGACGCCAUAUUUUGAUUUCAAAAUGGCAAAACAAACGCAGGAGGUUUGCAGGUAUGUUAUUCUAAAUGGUAAAUGGUAUAAAUGGUAAAUGGACUGUACUUGUAUAGCACUUUUCUAGUCUUCUGACCACUCAAAGCGCUUUAACACUACAUGACAUCAUUCACCCAUUCACACACUGAUGACAGGAGAACCACACACAGUGACACAGUGACACCUGUCCAUCAGUAACCAACAAUCACACACUGUAGUCGCAGCUACAGGAGCAAUGUUGGGUUAAGUGUUUUUCCCAAGGACACAACGACAUGCGGGUUAGCAGAGCCUGGGAUCGAACCGACAACCCUCUGAUUGGACAGAGGGCUGCAGGGUCUGAUUACAGAGCUGCAUCUGGUUGGUUGGUGCUUAAAUGUGGACACGCCCCACUCAGCUGGUCACAUAUUCCUUCCGCUUUAGCUCCAUUUUUGAUCACGGCGAAGGUAAGAUAUGAUUCAUGCUUCAGCUGCUUGUUUGUUCUUUUGUUGAGUUUUAAUGAUGAUAUAUAUCACGUGUGUAGAUAGAUGAUGGAGCAGUAGUUUUUGAUGUGUGCUGAUGUAGUGUCCUGGGUUUUGGAAUUGUGUUUAAUUAAGAGUAAAAAUGGUUAUCGUGAUCUUUGACCCAAUCUUCUGGCCCAGUUUGUAGGUUUGUGGGAUGAAAAUGUUUCGAACGACUCUUUCUUCGAGUCAUUUGGGGGGGGUAAGAUAUUACCGAUACCAGUAAGAUGAACACAUUUUUUCUUUGAGAGGACUCGUUACUCUCGAGUCCUUGUAAGGAUUCACGGGUCGUACGGUUCACGAACGACACAUCACUAGAAAACGGUGAGUGAUGGCUUCAAUAAUUGUAAUAUUUUCUGGUAUAUCUUAAGUUACCCAGGAGCUUUGUUGACAUAUACUUAGCUAAUGUUAGCUACAGCUUGAUGAAUUGAGUCAUUUACCGCGACGUUGGCCAGCUAGCUAAAGCUCCGGUAGCUAACGCUAGCGUUUUUGACAAGGCAGAAGGUAAAGUGCUCCACCGUUCUAUCAAUAAGCAGACCUGCCAACCUGAUAAGCAUUUUGGCAUUUUGACUUCAAAGUACGCUGGUACGACUUCACUCUCAACUACGCAAAAAUUUGUUUAAAAUUCAUUUUAGACUAGUUGACCAGCACACAUUAUAUGCAAUGCAAUAUAUUGCAUGACGAGUAUUUAAUGAAUUGUUCCCUAUUAGUUGUUGUCAAUUCCCAUCCCCCCCUCGUCGGUACCCCCUGGGACAAAACCAGUUGAAAACCUCUAGAGGGGUAAUCUCCUUCUCACCUUUUUCACCCUUGACCCGUUUUCAUGCCUGUCAUUAGAAAAUCAAAUUAUCCAUUAACUACAUAUUUCUCCUCAGGUUGCUGCUAGGCCUGGCCGGGAUGGCCCAAAAUCCAUAUUACAGCAUUUAUAAAGAUUCUGACCGUAUGUUGGUUUGUGAACAGCUGGGUGGCCAUAGCAACAGUAGCUCAGGGACCAGUAUACACUAGUUGGAUCACUCCUAACAGCUCAGAGUGUAAUCAUUAUAGACUGGUCAUGGAUGUGUAUGCUGAUCUCUGCCGUUCAUUUGGACUUCCUGUGUGGAUAGCUUCCUUGCUCCACGCUGCCAAACGCCUGAAGAGUGACUGCGCCCGUCGCAAGAAGGUCUACAGGCUCCUGCAAAGGAAACUGGUCGGUGCCCAUGUGAUAAAAUGCAAAUAUGUGAUCCAGCCAUUGCUUUUCUAUAUCACAUAUUUUGAAUUUUGCACAGUGAUUAACACAAUAAUGUGAAUUGAAAAUUACUUUUCAUUUAGCAGUACUCAAGACCAUGAUAGUUUGUGGUCCCUGUUCUUUCUAAAUGAAAAAUGAAAAUCCUGCUUCAUCUGAAAAUGUGUGUUGCACAUGAGUGAGUCCGACUUGCUGCUGUGAGGUUUGUGGUUCCAGAACCACCUCCAGCUAUCUGUUCGUCCCCACCCAUGGACAUUCUCCCUCACAGUCCACCAUUGUGAUAUAUGCAACUACUUCAACAAGGACUAGUAAAAAGCAGGAUUCACUUCAAAACUGAUGCUUACAUUUGAUUAAUGGCAAACAUUUGGGAGCCAUCUUCAUCCUUUGAAGCUGUCAAUAUUGCUAGUAUUUUUUAUCUGUAGCAUGUCCUGCUGCAAAUGUAGCUAACUUCCAUUCUCAGCUUUUCAUGUAUAGACUCAUGGAAAUUUUGUUAAAAGUUAUGGAAAAGUUCUGAAUGAAAAAUUGUGUACUUUUUCUGUUCUAUUUCUUCAACUUUUUGAAAGUACAUCACCAAAAAAACAAAUAUUGCCUUAAAAUGCAGAAAAUGGGCAAUUUGUUAAAAUGAAAUGGACAUUUUUGGACAUUAUACAGGACACUGACACAUUUUCAGUCUGCAGUUUGGGCUGGGCGCCCCCUAAUAUAAUGGUACAGGAAACCCUGGUAAGCAUAAGUUUGGUCAAUAACUUAAUCCCUAGUAUAUGGUACACAUUUAGACUAUGUCAUGUUGGUUGUGGUGCUGGACUCAAGACCAGAACACAGCAGCAAAGGUUCGAGAACCAGGGGUAUAAAUUUGUCCUGUUAUUGACCAGCCUAAUAUUAGAAUAUAUGUCUUUUUUUAAAGCGAAUAUUUGAAUGUCCUUUUUAAACGAUUUUGACAGCCCUAAUGCUCAGGCUUUUUGUUUUAACAACUGCAGACACCACGAUGGUCCGCCUCCGAAAUCACCUGAAAUGUGCCUUUGCUUUCAGACGAUUCAAACUGUCCAACCACCACGGCUGUCUGCUCUCGGUGUGUUCACCCAGUCCUCUAGUUCGUUCUCUGUUUCGGGCCAGUGGCACUUUCUUCCUCUGACUGCUUUGUGAGACUUCUUGCAUCUUCUCCUUCUUGCAAGUUCUGCAGCCUCCAAUCUGGAACCAUGGACUCCUUGAUCCGUUUGAGUGCCGCAGCUCGGUUCCCCUUUCAAUGGCCACGUCAAUAGCCUUUAGUUUAAAAGCCGCUGUCACACGUUACAGCGUGUCUUCGACAUGUUUAUAUCUGGGGAUGAGCGAUGGCGGGAAUAAAUACCGAAAUCAACCACGCCCUUAUUUUAUCCGCCGGGGUCAAAGGUGAGAAUAAAGGAAAGUAACAAGUUUCGGCUUAAAACCGGCAUUUAAGGAUACUUUCAGUAUGUGUCCUGGGUUAGUUUUAAGAUGUGAGCCAAUGUAACCGGUCCAGACCUAGAGGUGUCUGGACCGGUAACAUGUGAUUCACACUGGAUUAAUGAAGAGACAUACAUCGUGGGUACGUCUUCAUCGAGCCAGCGUCAUUUCAUUCUGGCUCACGUCGCUUGGUUUGCUCCCCGGUGGCACACAUUCGCCAUCUAACGAUGUGGAGGAGUAGGUCCACGAUGCGUUUGACUGCUCAAAAACCUAUUACAUCACCACUGGAAUACAGGAGCCGCAGCAUGGACACAACAGGAAAGUAGAAACCUGAAAUAAAAGUCUGAGAAUAACCGUCUACCAUUUGAAGAGAGUGAGACACAACAUUGAUAGUUGGUCCUCACUAACCACUAUUUAACUAUUUAGACCUACAGUAUUCUUGUAAAACCCCUUAAACGGAUUAUAUAUCCCACCUGGACAGGUCUGGGAAAGUCGGGACUACCUUGCUUUACAUUGACCUGGAUAAGAGAAAAUGGACGAAAAAACUAUUUUUUUAGCAUUGACUAUUAGUUAUGAAAUAGUAUUCCCAGGUGUUCCUAUUUCUUUUCUUUGAUUCCCAGAUGUACACGGGGUCGGUGUGAAGGGGGGGGAUCGGUGCCACCCCACAUACGUCUACCCUGAGGAGGUGAAACAGUUGAUUCGUUGUGUGUUCUCACAGGACAUCUGUGACUACCCCGACCCCUGCCACGACCAGGUGGUGUACGUCACUCUGGAGGAUUUGCACAAAGUUGACAUCAACUGAAGUGUGUGUCUCUUCUUCUAUGCUGAUGAACAACUUCCAGUCAUGGAUCAGCAACAGUUUUGCAAUGUGGGAAGUUGAUUCUCGAGGGUGUUGAUUGAAAGCUUAUUUCAAGAUGUUUUACUGAGUGGUUUCAGUGUCCCUCAACAUGAAUAUUAGGGUUUACAAAUAUUGUAUAUUUAUAUUGGAUCUCCACUCUUGACAAAUUACAGCUGUCAAGCUCAAAUGCUGAUCCACUAUAAGAACCGACUACAGCAUCUGACCGUUUGUGUAGUUACAAUGCCAAGUAGAAUUCACAAUACAUUCAUUGUAUUUAAUUGUAAUUAAUAUGGAGGGACAAUUUUACUCUGUAAUACAAACAGUAAUAAAACAGUGUUUUCUGUUAUUUUUUCCAAUAAAAGAAUAAAAAGUGUUCCACUACCAAUAGGGUUGUAUUUAAUCCGAAAACAUCUAGAUGUCGAGAAGAAAACAACCUUGAAACCUUGAGGCAGCGGUGUCCAGAUUUGAUGAUGUAAAGAUGCCUGGGGGCCAAUAGUACCUUCUGACAUUUUUAACCAUAAAAGUUACAUGAGAUACACGUUCAUUGUCACCAUUAUCUAGUUUUUUUCCAAUGGCAAUGUAGCCAACGAUAUUCCACUCAGGCAGGCAUCGACAACUCUAAAAGCACUGGUUUGUCUUUUAUUCAUCAUUGAACGAACUCCAUGAAGUUGAUAAAUACCUUUUUACAUUGUGAUCCUUUUAAACAGGAUUGAAUAAAUAACUCUGCUAAAGGAGGAAUUGCAUUUUAAAGUUUCAUGGUUUAUUUAACUGUGCUAGCAGGACAUACACAAUAC
ensembl:lncRNA